AUUGAACGCUGGCGGCAUGCCUUACACAUGCAAGUCGAACGGUAACAGGUUAAGCUGACGAGUGGCGAACGGGUGAGUAAUGUAUCGGAACGUGCCCAGUCGUGGGGGAUAACUGCUCGAAAGAGCAGCUAAUACCGCAUACGACCUGAGGGUGAAAGCGGGGGAUCGCAAGACCUCGCGCGAUUGGAGCGGCCGAUAUCAGAUUAGGUAGUUGGUGAGGUAAAGGCCCACCAAGCCGACGAUCUGUAGCUGGUCUGAGAGGACGACCAGCCACACUGGGACUGGGACACGGCCCAGACUCCUGCGGGAGGCAGCAGUGGGGAAUUUUGGACGAUGGGCGCAAGCCUGAGCCAGCCAUGCCGCGUGCGGGAAGAAGGCCUUCGGGUUGUAAACCGCUUUUGUCAGGGAAGAAAAGGUUCUGGCUAAUACCUGGGACUCAUGACGGUACCUGAAGAAUAAGCACCGGCUAACUACGUGCCAGCCGCCGCGGUAACAC
rnacentral:rRNA from 1 species